rnacentral:lncRNA from 1 species
GGCAGUUGACGAUGGCGUUGCGUUGCUCGAUGAGGGUGACGAGCUCCUGCAUCAGCACCUUCUCUCGGCCCCGGUCCUCCUCGGUCCAGUCCUUUUCUGCCCAAGGAGAAAAGGCCUCCUCAUCUUGAAAUAAACACCCUGAGAUCCCUCAGCCAGGCCCCAACACCCUACUGCCACCUCCUGCCAAAACUCAGGAGCCACUGGCCCAGCACAGUUCUGGGGACGACGUGGGUUUUGAAAUCGCCAGCUCAGUUCAACUCGCAAUCUGCUACUUCCUAAAUCUGGAGCCUGGGUAAGUUAUGUGCCCAACCUACAUGGGAGAAAACUGAGGCUUGGAGAAGAGAAGUCCUUAACCAGUGUCACACAGCAAGGGUGGAGCCAAGCUCGUACCCAGGCAGCCUAACACCCCUAAGCUGCCACAGUUGUAGUCUUAGGGGUCUUCAGCCCAUCUGGGGCCUUACAAACCAUUCUCAGCCUCCAGAGGCAACAUCUGGGACAGGAUGACGAGCCCAGGAUGUGCCGCUACCACACAGAGGACUGGAGACCCAGCACAAAAAGCCCAGGGCCUGACACAACACUGUAAAUCAACCACACGCUUAAAAACAACAACAACAACAACAAAAGCCUAGGGCCAGGCUGGCCUGGGGUACAGAGGUGCUGCGUCCACUCCAGCCACAAGGCGUCGCUGUGCCUCCCUCUGAGUGGCAGCCCCGCCCCAGCCUCUGGAGAUUGGAGAGUAAUUUAAAGAUGGCAGUGGAGGGCUGGGACAUUCUGUGACUUCUCAGGGACACUCCUGCCUCGGCUUUCAUGCAGCCUCCCAAGUUCCCUGGUCAGUGGGAAAUCAGGGCCACUGUCCCAGAAGGCAGGAGGGGCUGUGUGUGCAGGGACAGGCUCAGGUCAGAGACAUGGAGAGAAGCCCAGCUCCACCACCAGCGGGCAAGACUCUCAAACUCUCUAGCUCUGAUUUCCUCAUCCAUUAAAUGGAAACGUUGAUGCCUACUGCCUGGGCCAUAGGAAGUGGUCACAGGCCGGGCUCCACAGACUCCUGCGGUCUCUCCCUGCCCACAGCUGUGCUCACUCCAUGUCAUGGCCACAGACCCCAACUCAGCCACAUAGGAACCAUCAGCCAUCAGCUCCUUUGCUUUUCUUUUUUUUUUUUUUUGGAGAGGGAGGUCUCUUUACAGCUGCAGGCGCAGCACAUGGAGGUUCCCAGGCUAGGGGUCGAAUUGGUGCUGUAGCUGCCAGCCUACAACAUAGAGCCAUAGCCAUGAAGGAUCCAAGCUGCGUCUGUGACCUACACCACAGCUCACGGCAACACCCGAUCCUGAACCCACUGAGCAAGGCCAGGGAUUGAACCCACAACCUCAUGGGUGCUAAUCAGAUUCGUUUCCGCUGUGCCACAACAGGAACGUCAGCUCCUCUUUUCCACACCCAUCUGCUGGUCCCUAGAAUACCCUACCAGGGAGGUAUCUUCACUCCUGUCUUACAUACGAAGUCACUGAGGCUCAGUGGGGCUAAGCAAGCUGCCUGAGGUCACCCAGCAAGUUAGCGGCAGAACACGGACUAUCUGACUCCAUGCCAAGCCCUCCCGCCGCCCCUGCUCCAUUCUCAGCACAUCCCACACCCGGCCUCCCCGGGUCAUUCUGAGCCACGCUGUGCAGGGCGCCUUCGCCAUCCCCGCUUCCACCUCCACCAUCCCCCGCCCCUGCCACCUGAGCCUGCCAUGCUCUCAACUAACAGCCAUGAGCACAGAGCUGCCCCUGGACAGGCCCCUGCUCUCCCCCCAGGGACCUGCCUCCCCACACAUUCCAGGAGAGGAGGGGGCCAAAACAGGCCCGUCUGCCCCUGGGCUUGGUGCUCUCUGCAAGCCUGUCAUCCCAGCACCACAGAUGUCACAGCCCCACGCUGGCCACCAUGCGGGCUCACGGCUCGAGCCUAUUUAUCACCCGUUAAGACCCAGACAGCCCCUGCCGGUCCUGCCCUCCGGCCUUGCUCACAGAGUCGGCCCAUGCGUCCCCCACCAGGGCUCUUCCGAGUCCCCAGGCCCCGGGGCCUGGGUCCGGGAGCGGGUGGGACCACACUCACCUGGCUUGUUGAGAAGACACCGGAGCUCAUACUCCACGUCGGCCUGGCGCUGCUCCAGGUUCUGCUGCUUGAAGCUAGAGCGUGGGAAGAAGGCGACCAUCGGUCAGGUCCCGGCCGCCUGCCCGCUGCCGUCGGUGAUGAGGGAAGAAGGGCGGCGUCUGGGUCCUAAGCUCUGCGGGUCCUGGGGAGGCGGCGGGGGCCGGGGAGGGAGCACUCACACGUAGAUGAGCUCGGACUCCCGCCGGACCAGCAGGUGCUUCUCAUGGAUGAGCCUGAACCAGUCCACCAGCAUGUCAUCCUCGCGGCCCUCUGGAAGGCAGAGGCCGACUGAGGACCCCGCGGUGUUCCAGGGCAUCCAGCUGGCGCUCGAUGGUGUCCACCUCUCNNNNNNNNNNNNNNNNNNNNNNNNNNNNNNNNNNNNNNNNNNNNNNNNNNNNNNNNNNNNNNNNNNNNNNNNNNNNNNNNNNNNNNNNNNNNNNNNNNNNNNNNNNNNNNNNNNNNNNNNNNNNNNCCUCCUCUCUCCGGCCAGCACGGGCCCAGCACCCCGGCUCUGUGCCACACCCCGGGGUGGCGAGGAGUGGGUGCCACAGCCCCUCCAUAUCCCCAGCCCCAGGGCCGACAGGCACGCCCGGAGGAGGCAACUUCCUGCCUCUUGUGGCAACUUCCUCCCCCUCCUCUGCCACUCCAGGAAAGAUGUCAUAGGUGUGAGAGCCCCACUGGAAGAGAAACUGAAAACA